rnacentral:misc_RNA from 1 species
GCAUUAAAUAAAACAACAACAUGAUGAACAACGUUGUGUUUCGAGGAAAUUAAGUAAAGAUAUAGGUCUUGUUUGAAUUUAGCUACUGCUUUUCAGGUUCGGUGAUACCCCAAAGUAAUGACAGCGGUCGCAUUUUUUUUAAUACCAGUCUCUCUACUCUCCAGCAUUGAAGGUACUAAAGUGAUGUACAGCUUCUCAAAUAGGAGGGGGAGGGGUACACUGGCACGUACCAUAUACAACCGGGUGCUUGAAGAUGAACAGCACAGGCAUGAUAAUCACAGCUACUGGUAUUUUGUGAAGAGAUCAAACCUGCCUGCAGAUUUAUGUGACAGUUUCCUACAACUAGAUCAAGACAGUGAAACUAUGGAUUUCCUUGAGAACUGUUACGAGAAGUCUGACUGGGUGUUUAUGCAAAUAUACCACUCUGUAGCCAAGUCAUUACUCAGCUGGUUUAUGGAAAAUACAUCAAUAAAUGGGUGGUUGGGUAGAGGGUCCAUGUUUGUGUUUUCUAGGUCACAGUUUACACAGUUACUUGACAUUGAUGAGGACUGGAAAGAAGAAAGUUUGUUAGACUUGGGUGCUGGUGAUGGUGAGGUCACGAAAAUGAUGGCCCCAUAUUUCAACCACAUUUAUGCCACAGAAACAUCAAAACCAAUGGUUAAAAGGCUUAAUGAUAAAGGAUACCGAGUGCUUGAUGUGGAGUCGUGGGAUGACGGUUCAAUUUCCUUUGAUCUGGUCAGCUGUUUGAAUCUCUUAGAUCGCUGUGAUAAACCACUCAGUAUUUUACAUUCCAUAAAGAAAGUUCUGAAACCGGGAGGUCAUGUCAUUGUAGCUGUUGUGUUGCCAUUUGAACCCUAUGUUGAAUUUGGUCCUGAUAACAAACCAACAGAGAAAAUAGAACUGAAAGGUCACACAUUUGAGGAACAAUCUGUCAGUCUUGUGAGAGAUGUGUUUGAACCUGCUGGCUUUUCACUUGUCAGAUUUACACGUGUACCAUAUCUAUGCGAGGGAGACUUGGAAACUAGCUUUUAUGUGUUAGAUGAUGCUUUAUUCGUGUUGAAACUUAGUGAAAAAGGUUGAAUAUUUGACAGGUAAAAAAGGACGCUUUUCUUAGAGGAUACACAUGUACAUGAAAUUGAGUGGGAAUAUGAAAAUAUAUCUGACGGUACUGAAUGUUUGUUUAGCGGAUAUAUAAAGCGAGUUCUGUGGAUGUGUUAAUAUUUAGAGUGUGUUUAAGCGGGCAUAUAUGAAUUAAAUAUGUUUGGUUUCAAUAAUUUAAUACAGAUGUUGAGAUAAAAUUCAGCAUUCUUGGUGGAUAUAUUAAAUGAUGCAGGAAUGUGAAAAAUAUAUCUACCUGUAUUGAAUGUUUGCUUUGAGGACAUAUGUUGCAAAUUUUCUAGACAAGUACAUUUUGGAGGAGGUUGUAUAUAUGUGGCAGGUGAUUGUUUGGAGGAGCCAGGAGGUUGUUUAUAUGUGCCAUAAUAAUGUUACUGGAUACAGCAAUAUGAUAGUGUUUAAAUGUGCAUAAUACAUGUAUGAUGUUAGUGCUGCUCAAUAUAGAAAGUUGUGUGUA